rnacentral:pre_miRNA from 1 species
UUAAUACUCCCUCCGUCCCAAAAUUCUUGUCUUGAAUUUGUCUAAAUACGGAUGUAUCAAGUCACGUUUUAGUAUUAGAUACAUCCGUAUCUAGACAAAUCUAAGACAAGAAUUUUGGGACGGAGGGAGUAUUUC